rnacentral:rRNA from 1 species
GACGAACGCUGGCGGCGUGCCUAAUACAUGCAAGUAGAACGCUGAAGAGAGGAGCUUGCUCUUCUUGGAUGAGUUGCGAACGAGUGAGUAACGCGUAGGUAACCUGCCUGGUAGCGGGGGAUAACUAUUGGAAACGAUAGCUAAUACCGCAUAAAAUUGAUUACUGCAUGAUAAUUAAUUGAAAGAUGCAACUGCAUCACUACCAGAUGGACCUGCGUUGUAUUAGCUAGUUGGUGAGGUAACGGCUCACCAAGGCGACGAUACAUAGCCGACCUGAGAGGGUGAUCGGCCACACUGGGACUGAGACACGGCCCAGACUCCUACGGGAGGCAGCAGUAGGGAAUCUUCGGCAAUGGGGGGAACCCUGACCGAGCAACGCCGCGUGAGUGAAGAAGGUUUUCGGAUCGUAAAGCUCUGUUGUAGGAGAAGAACGGGUGUGAGAGUGGAAAGUUCACACUGUGACGGUAUCUUACCAGAAAGGGACGGCUAACUACGUG